UGGGGAAUAUUGCACAAAGGGCGCAAGCCUGAUGCAGCCAUGCCGCGUGUGUGAAGAAGGCCUUCGGGUUGUAAAGCACUUUCAGCGAGGAGGAAGGUGGCGAGCUUAAUACGCUCAUCAAUUGACGUUACUCGCAGAAGAAGCACCGGCUAACUCCGUGCCAGCAGCCGCGGUAAUACGGAGGGUGCAAGCGUUAAUCGGAAUUACUGGGCGUAAAGCGCACGCAGGCGGUUUGUUAAGUCAGAUGUGAAAUCCCCGGGCUCAACCUGGGAACUGCAUUUGAAACUGGCAAGCUAGAGUCUCGUAGAGGGGGGUAGAAUUCCAGGUGUAGCGGUGAAAUGCGUAGAGAUCUGGAGGAAUACCGGUGGCGAAGGCGGCCCCCUGGACGAAGACUGACGCUCAGGUGCGAAAGCGUGGGGCAGCAAACAGGAUUAGAUACCCUGGUAGUCCACGCUGUAAACGAUGUCGAUUUGGAGGUUGUGCCCCUUGAGGCGUGGCUUCCGGAGCUAACGCGUUAAAUCGACCGCC
rnacentral:rRNA from 1 species